UCUAGCUUUUGUUGUUCUUCCCCUUUACCCAGGAUGAGUCUCAGCACUUCCAGCAUUGGGCUACCUACUAAUAUAUGGAUCCUCAAGUAGCAUUGGGCAUCUCCAGUUCCUAGUUCAAAGCCAUCUUUGAAGGCCUCACUCAGGCCACCUCUGCUGAGUGGCUCAGAAAAAACAAACAAACAAACAACAACAACAAUUUCUCCCAUCUUUGGGUACUCAUUUCACCAUGUGCAUUUGUCCAAAGAAGGCGACAAAGUAUUUUACAAUGUUUGACGACAGAUUGUGACUUCCCACGUUACUGGCUUCCUUUGCCCACCCUGCAGCAGUAUCUUCUGUGUUCCUUUAACCUGCAAAGUAAUGACGGUGGCUGAUUGCAUUUGAUAAAGAUUUCACCUUUCUGGAGCAAUUCUUUACUAAGAACUUUAAACUUCAUUAUUAUAAAAACUAGGGAAAACUACAGCUUAGGCAUUUAUUUUUUCCAGGCAAAAUUCGUUUGUCAUGAUGGAGGAUUCCUCAGUUCUAAAGACUGAAUAUGCAUAAUAGAUAUACCUGGAGGCUGACUCAGGAUCAGUUCUCCUAAAAGAAGUUCAACUGAGUAGCAUGUAGGAAUCAUAUGCAAAGAAGCUUCUCGAUGCAGGACAGAGCACAGCCUCAGGAAGGUCACACAGGUCAAGCUGAUUACCUCCUCCAGCUCUGGCAAGCAGAGGGCUCAGCUGGGUUACCCAAGUUCACAAGGAGCUAUUGACAUUCAGCUUCAGCUCUCACUCAUUACAGAUCAGCAGGGGACUGUCUGGGCCUUAGGUUAACUCUUCCCUGCCCUCUUUCAAGAUUGCAGUGAGGCUAAAAAUGAAAAGAAGCUGCACGGUAACAUGGACACAGUUUAUUCCUGGUUAUUAUUCAAGAAAUGAACCUUUUCAACCAAUAUCUAAUAAACCUCUUCCAAGGGAA